ACACGUAGGGGGCGAGCGUUACCCGGAAUCACUGGGCGUAAAGGGCGCGUAGGCGGCCGAUUAAGUCGGGGGUGAAAGCCUGUGGCUCAACCACAGAAUUGCCUUCGAUACUGGUUGGCUUGAGGCCGGAAGAGGACAGCGGAACUGCGAGUGUAGAGGUGAAAUUCGUAGAUAUUCGCAAGAACACCAGUGGCGAAGGCGGCUGUCUGGUCCGGUUCUGACGCUGAGGCGCGAAAGCGUGGGGAGCAAACAGGAUUAGAAACCCCGGUAGUCC
rnacentral:rRNA from 1 species